GAGUAAUGGCAAUGAGUCAAAUUAAAAAAUGUAUUGUGAUGAUGUUGAUAAUAAUGAUGUUUAAAAUACAAGUUGAAUGCAUUCGUCAACCUUCAGAUGUUAAGACAAACUUAUGUAAGGCUGGGUGUUUCUUUAAGUGUGUCCAAAUGUUUUAUUAUUCAGAUUGCAUGAAAGAAUGUGUUUAUGAGUGCAAACAUCACAAUUAUGAUGCUUCACAUAAGUAAUGGUACCAGUGCUUCAAGUGAAUGUAUGCCGUGAUUGGGGUGGUUACAUACAUUUCUUAAGGAUUGGAGUUACAAUAAUUAAUAAAUAAUUCAUAUAUUUUAUGUGAUGCUAUUCAAUAAAAUGUAUGGUUAAAUAUUGACAUUUUGUCAAAAAUAAAUAAAUAAAUUUUAAAUCA